rnacentral:lncRNA from 1 species
CGUCACUCGCUGAAGAGCUAGCUCGAAGCAACGCCCUUCCCACGGUCCCUAGCCUCUCCGGGCGUGGAAGGCUCUGAAAGAAAACAUAAAAUAGAGGGCGUGAGAACUAUAAUUUAUAGUUCCCAGUGGGCAAUUACUGACCUCAGCUCAAUGCACCACUAGGCCCCAAAAGAAAAGGGUAAGCCAAAAAGAGCAAUAGAAUGGAAUAAAUUGCAUUUGUAAAAGUAUAAGUAAAAUGCUAACUACUACACUGCGAUUAAACAUGAUGUUAAUAUAGUGCACCUUUACUUUGUCAUAACCAUUAUGUCUCUACAUGGCCACAAGUAAAUAUCACGGUUUACUUAAUGAAGUUAUGAAGAUCAUACUUUAUCAUGGCAACAAUGUAUAUAUGAAUACAAUAAGCAACAUCUCCUAGCAUGCUAC